rnacentral:rRNA from 2 species
CGUGCGGGAGGAGGUCUUUGGAUUGUAAACCGCUUUUGAUAGGGAAGAAGAUCUGACGGUACCUAUCGAAUCAGCAUCGGCUAACUCCGUGCCAGCAGCCGCGGUAAUACGGGGGAUGCAAGCGUUAUCCGGAAUUAUUGGGCGUAAAGCGUCCGUAGGUGGUUUUAAAAGUCUGUUGUUAAAGCGCGAGGCUUAACCUCGUACAGGCAGUGGAAACUAUAAGACUAGAGUGCGGUAGGGGUAAAGGGAAUUUCCAGUGUAGCGGUGAAAUGCGUAGAUAUUGGAAAGAACACCGGUGGCGAAAGCGCUCUACUGGGCCUGCACUGACACUGAGGGACGAAAGCUAGGGGAGCGAAAGGGAUUAGAUACCCCCCGUAAACGAUGGAAACUAGGUGUU